UGGGAUGUUGUGGAUUUCACACUUCUAAACCUUCGUCUCGAGGGCAAAAGUGUGAACAGACCGUGUUGGGUGUGUGUGGGGUCUUUGAGGAUGGAGGCAGCUCUCCUUUAGACUCUGCGAUGGUAGAUACUCUGCAGAGAGGGCAGUGGAGUCCUAAUGAUAUUCUCGGCAGUUGUUAUCACUGUCAGCAGGUGUUUGUGGUCCAUAGCAGUAGUGCUGCCGUACCAUGCAGAGAUGCAGCUGGUCAGUGUGCUCUCCAUAACGCAGCUGUAGAACCUGCUGAGGAUCUUGGCUGACAUACCAAAUUUCCUCAGCCUCCUUAGGAAAUACAGCCAUUGACCAGCUGUGUGGUGUUCAGUGUCCAGCUCUGCCAGAUGAAGUGCCGCCACUUCUGACCUGCUGCAGUCCAGACACUCUGAGAGUGCUCAAUCAGCUGGUGGAUGGUCUGAAGGACGGUCGGGCCAAACUGCCAGAGUCCCUGCCCGUCCCCCUGCAGGAGGGAGGGGAGCUCCGCUGGGCGGCCGAGUUCAUCUGUUUGAACGAUCAGAAGCUGAAAGAGUUGAGUGACGGCUGGGACCGGCCCGAGCUGCCCCCAGAGGUUCUGCUGGAGGUUCUGUGCCUCGCUGUGCAGGGACUCAGCCUGAUGCAGCCCACAACAAACCCUUAAUGUCAGCUGCUGUGAUCUUUGUUAAUGUGCUUUUACAGCAGCCGAUGCUUGUGAUGGUUCAGUGUCCAGUCAGGUGAAUACAGCAUAGUUUUGAUGUCCAUGGUUGAUUCAACAAUUGGUGAACUUUAUUUCAAUGUCUCACUCUGAUUUUGUUUCUUGUAUAACUCUGUCAUCUUUCAAAGAGACAAAAAGACAAAAAUAACCAACAGAAUUCACAUUUUAUUAAAGUAACAUACUUUUAUUAAGUUAUUUACAUUAUUGUUAUAGUUUAUGUCAUGGUUCCUGUAAUUUGAUGGUUUUCUUGGAUUCUUUGUGUUUGCAGACCCCACUUUAAUCAUCUGGUCUCCAACCUCUUCGUGUUCAUUUUGAGGUUUUUUUUUAACAAGUUCUUCAUAAAUACUUUUUAAAUUCCUGGUUAUUAAAGGUUUGAAAUUAUGUGAGGGAACAAGUGGAACAGUUUUUCUAUUAGAAUGAAAAAAGAAUGUUUAAAAACAUGAAUGAUGAUGCAUGAUUAAGGCUGGAAAUAAAGUUAAUACUUAGAGAAUAGUUGUAAUUUUGGGGGCAAGUCAGAAAAUCAUACACACUGUAUGGAACAUAUAACAAUUAGAAUGAGCUGCCUACCUAUAUCAUUUUUAGGAAAAUCUCAUCUUAAAUUCUGUAAUCCUAAAGUGUAUAUGCUAAACGCUGAUCUAAAAUGGGAUUGUGCUAAUGAGAGCUUAAUGUCAUGCUCAGAGGUAAAAACAGGGUCAACAAUGUAAAUGAUAUAACACAGUGAUGAGGUGUUACACCCUCUGUAACCCCUACUUGCCUUGUACUGAGUCUGAGCGUCUGGGUGUUGUUGAGGCAUAAUUGCUAAUUAUCUGCACCAGAUGAGGUGUGGCGGGUGGCAUGUCUGGGGAGAGUUUGGGGGAUGUUACUUCUAGCCUUGAAAGAAGGUUGUUAUUUUUGAUUGGAUGUUAUUUGGUCAUUUAAACUAAAAACCAAGGUUUCUGCAAAGUUUGGUAUCAGUAUCCACUUCAUGUUGCAGGUUCAUGUCCAGAUCCAAUGAUGAAGUAAUAUAGUAAAUAUAUGUUUGGCUCGAUGAACAUGCACGAAACAUUUUAUCAGAAUGAUGAAUCAUUUAAUUUUUGCUGGUUUCAGCAUAAAACACAUCUGAUAAGAAGCCUCAAUAAUGUCACAUACUUAAACUUAGGUUGGGCCAGGAGUGAUUGACCUGAUGAUCUUAACGCUCAGCGAGGAGUGUACAGAUUGAGAAGAUCAGUGAGAUAACUGACUGGGUGCAAUAUUAUUCUGAAUUUUGAAAGGGAGUAGCCAAAUUUUAAACUGACCGCAAUAUUUGAUAGGUAACCAAUUUAAUCAACAAGAGCUGGAGUGAUAGAAUCAAUUUUUCCAGCUCUGGCAAGAAGGUGAGCCGCAGGAUUCUGACAGUUGUAGCCUUUGAAGAGAGACGGAUUGGAGACUACAGUAAAGAGAAUUGCAAUAGUCACACCUGGAGGUCACAAAAGCAUGGAUCAGUUUUUCAAAGUCUCCUGUAUUGUAUAUAACGCUUAGCUUUAGAAAUCUGGCAUAGUUGAAAGAAGCUAGAUUUAACUACAGAUGACACUUUUUUGGGCUUAAAGGAGCUAUCCAAAUAGAUGCCCAGGUUAUUUAUAGAAUCAGAGAGAGAGUUAACAAGGGGCCCCAAUAGGGCAACAAGCUGUUCUUGAAGAAUAUAGAAUAGAAUAGAAUAGAAUUCAACUUUAUUGUCACUGCACAUGUCACAAGUACAAGUGCAACCCAGAGUAAAAUCUGUUUUACUAGAAUUUAGUAAUUUCCUGCACUUAUUUCCUGCCAUUGAACGCAUCACAAAUACAUGACUCCAACCACAUGACUUUGCUCAGCCGAUCGGCUAAUUGGCUGCUGCCAGUCCAAACAAUUUGAUUUAGAUUUUUGAUUUGACCGAUAGUUGUUGAAUAACAAAUGUUGUGAAGCUAUAUAUUAUGUGUAUCCGGUUGUUCAGUCUGACGUCACUAGCCGUGUCUGGGUCUAAACUCCGCUGCAGGUCCAUAUAUCAAACGAUCACUAUGGCAUUACUGAGAGUUGAAAAACUGUCUAAAGUCUUUCAUCUUUAAUAAAAUGAUCAGCGAUCUGCUCUACCAGGUGUAACAAUUGAGUUUAACAUUCAGGCAUCCAUGAAAACGGAAUUUAUGACAUUUAACGGAGUUAGAAGUUAGCAGGGAGUUAGCUCGCUAGCUUCUAUCUAAAUACAAUAUAGCAUGUCCUGACUGCAGGGUUUUGGAAACAAAUUAAAACGUACAGCUCUGCUAUCACUUCCAGCAUAAAUGAAGACAGAAAACUAAACAGCAGUGACGUUUGUAGGGUUACUGAAGUUUGGCUAGCUGGUAUAUAAUGAUGUGCUACGUGACCGCUAGCGACACAGCUAUGUUAGCAUAAUAUAAACAAGCUAACUUUUUUCCCCACUCGAUAAAAGUUAACGUGAGUGUUCUCGUGGUCAGGAACAAAUGUAAUCGCAUGGCAGGAUGCUGUAAAAGGACCAAACUUCAGCCAGGAGAACAACUGAGAUAAUCCAUCCACAAUACGAAGUUAGUCAUUCAUAUACUGCUGCAUGGGCUGGGCUGUAGUUACAUCCUAAGGUUUUAAAAACUGAGCUUAAAUAAAUGAUUAGCGGUAAUAAAAGCCGAGGGAGGUUAACAGUGAUCACUGACUGUUUUAGGAGCUUUUUAAGAUCAAAUAGAAGAAAAUACAUAACAUUAAACAUGUUAACAACACAAAAGCCAUAUUAAACGCAGACUACUUUAGACCCGGAAGUAGGAUUCGUCGCGUCAUCACUGAACAACCGGAUAGCAGUUGAAAUGUUUUAGUUAAAUCCUUAUUGGUUAAAUAUACUGUUUGUUUAUCUAUUUAUAAGUUGUGUAAACAGGAAUAACUUAAUGUAUUUUAGCUUAACUGGCUGACAUUUUUGUAUUAUUCUUGUGAUUUCUUAUUGGCCUUGUUUAUUUAAUGCAGGCCAGGUGAACCUUUUUGGGUAUGGAAAAGGAUGGCGAGCCAAUGAACGGCUAUAGGAGCAGGAAUCAUUCUGCAUUGAAGCUUCCACUGGUUGGGUAAGAAGCUAUCAAAGACGACGCUCUGUCCCCAUUUUCCGAAUACACUGAUUUCCACAAUCAUACACACCAUUCCCCCCGUUUAUGGACAAUAGCACUUGGACAUCUCUCAUGGCCAAUAUGACAAAGAAAUCACAUAUUUGCUUCAAAGGGGUUAAGUGUUCUAAAAUCAUGAAAUCACGAAAACUAGCUUAAUUGUUUUUUGACAUAGUAAAAAACAACAUGUAUCACUUUAGAUUUUAAGCUAAUUGGGCUGAAGGGUGUCUUGUUUCGAUUGGUAAACAGUUCUUAGCAAAUGUAUUUGUCCGCUCCUCAAUGAAAGUUUUAUCCCAAAUAUUGACAGUGUUGAUAAUUAAAGGAAUCCUUUUUGGGUUUUCUGUAAUGGUUAACUGAGCAGUAUAUGCAGGCUAUUUAAAUAAAAUAAUAUUUUUACUGCAAAAAUAUUAUUGAUGUUUUAUCCACAAUUUUUUUUAUUUACAUUUUUACAAAAUAGUCGGAAAAAUAGUCAAGCAUAUUAUUGUGCCUUGAGGCAAUUGCUGUUGUGAUUUGGUGAUAUAUAAAUAUAAUAAAAUAAAACUGAAUUCAGUUAUUAUUAUUAUCUUUAUUAAGAUGCCAAUUUAGAGUUAUUUACUUGCUUACUUGAUUGAUUUCUGAUUUCUCAGUGUGCCGGCUUAAUUUUGGGUAAAGAAACAUUAAUUCAGUUUGUCAAUUGCCUAAUAAAAAAACAACAAUUAUUGUGUUAAAAAGCUUUUGGCAUGUUUCUAAAAUAUUUGUAUUUUCAUGCAUUUACGACGGGUGGUCUAAUAAAUUUGCUCACUCCCGCACUUCAGGCAGGAGAUCUUGCAUGUUUAUGCAUUUACAGUGGCUUGAAAAAGUAUUUGAACUUUCCCACAUUUUGUCACAUUACAGCCACAACCAUGAAUCAAUUUUAUUGGAAUUCCACGUGAAAGACCAACACAAAGUGGUGUACACGUGAGAAGUGGAACGAAAAUCAUACAUGAUUCCAAACAUUUUUCCAAACAUUC
ensembl:lncRNA